rnacentral:sRNA from 1 species
AUGUGCCCGCGGGCCAUGUGUCUCUUCCGCGCCGUCCGCACCCGCCUGACGAUUACUCGCCCCGUUGUGUUCGCU